AAAGCACUGUGGAGGGGAGAAAAAACCGGAGUGUAUCCGGUCUUGACGGUACCCUGUUAGAAAAGCACCGGCUAACUCCGUGCCAGCAGCCGCGGUAAUACGGAGGGUGCAAGCGUUGUUCGGAAUUAUUGGGCGUAAAGGGCGUGUAGGUGGCAUUUCAAGUCUGGUGUGAAAAGCCCACGGCUCAACCGUGGAACUGCAUUGGAAACUGAAAAGCUCGAGUAUUGGAGGGGGUCGCGGAAUUCCCCGGUGUAGAGGUGAAAUUCGUAGAUAUCGGGAGGAACACCAGUGGCGAAGGCGGCGACCUGGCCAAUUACUGACACUGAGACGCGAAAGCGUGGGUAGCAAACAGGAUUAGAUACCCUGGUAGUCCACGCCGUAAACGAUGGGUGCUAGCCAUAUCGGGUGUUGACCCUUAGGUGUGGCGAAGCCAACGCGUUAAGCACCCCGCCUGGGGAGUACGGUCGCAAGAUUAAAACUCAAAGGAAUUGACGGGGG
rnacentral:rRNA from 1 species